rnacentral:piRNA from 1 species
CCUGUAAAAUGGUGGAUUUGGACUAUGUGA